rnacentral:RNase_P_RNA from 2 species
GGAGGGAGCUGAAGAAUCGCUCCAGUCUUAAUCGGAGAGGAAAGUCCGGACUCCAUAGAACAGGGUGAUGGUUAACGACCACCGUUCCGAUAUUGUCGGAAUAGGGAAAGUACCACAGAAAAUAAACGGCCAAAUUAACCCUAAAGGUUAAAUGGCAAAGGUGAAAAGGUGUGGUAAGAGCACACCGCUUUAAUGGUGACAUUAAAGGCAUGGUAAACCCCACUUGGAGCAAGGUCCAAACUGAAAAAAGGAGUUGUUCGCUCCGUCAGAUUUUCUAUGUUGACCGCAUGACCCCGAUAGUAAUAUCGGGGCUAGAAAAAUGAUUCUUAACCCCGCCCCAAAAUGUUGUAAGAUAAUGCAGUAAAACUAAAAAAAUAUUUUGGCAUUAUAAUCUACAUUUUGGAGCUGGGUGAACAGAAUCCGGCUUACACGCUUCCUCCUGAU